rnacentral:misc_RNA from 1 species
AAGUCGUAACAAGGUUUCCGUAGGUGAACCUGCGGAAGGAUCAUUAACACGUAUCCAACGUAAAAACCCCCCCUGUGAACCUUUAGACCUGUUCUCCUAGCCCAGUGCGAUCCAGCAAUCCCGGUAAAUCAUUGUUGAACAGUAUUGAUUCGGGACCUCUGACAAAUGAGAAGUUACAGUUAGGAUAUGAGCGGAGAUAGCUGCAUGGCAUCCCGAAGCAGUCGGUGUCUGAAAGUGUCAUUGAUUGUCUAAGGAUCUCGCUUCUACGAUUGCUUAGGGUCGCUCACCGACCAGCAGACAUGCAACCGGGUCCCCAUGCCCCUUUAAAACCCGAAUAACAUCUGUGAGCAAACGGACCGUCCAGUUUGCUAAAAAAACCUCGAACAACUGUUAACAAUGGAUAUCUUGGUUCUC